rnacentral:lncRNA from 1 species
UCUUUAACAGAAUGUCCUGCAAGCACUUCCAGUACAUUUCAUCCGAUAUAGAAGUAAUUGCUGCCCUCAUAAAAUGCAUCUCUGCAUUCCCAAAGGUCCCAACACUUCCCUCCAACCAGACACGGGGAGAUGUUCUGAACUCUACCAUCACAGCCAAGUUAUUAUUCCUCUCAAUUCUACCUCCUAAGAAGGGUUUCUCUGUCCUCAACUGCCAUUGUCUAAUUUGGGGUACUCAUUACUGCAGUUUUCUGUCUUCUAUCUUAGGUCGGGCUUUCUGGGAAGCAAACUUUAAGUUUCUGAGAUUUCCGUGGGAAGGUUGUUGGAGAGUGCAUGCGAGAGAAAUUAAUACCUUUGUGAGGAGUGGAGAAAGUAAGUUGAACUGCACUGUAGUUGCAAGAAUAACUUCAAUCAUUCCUCCAGGGUGCUCUGGAACUGUAUGACCCUUACGACUUAUCCAAACUUGAUGUAAGGGGUUGAGGUGAGGGGACCUUAAAGUAACAAAUUCCACUCUCCUUAACCACCACCACUCACCCUGCCAUCUCCUACUGCUCCCACCUGCCACUGGAUGUGAGCAGCACCCAUCCCAACCCAGGGAUCUCAGCUGAGAGUCACCAGCAACCAGGUAUGAGGGCCUCAGCCUUCAAAGGAAGCAGAGUAGAAUAGGACAUCAUUCACCACAAUGUCUUGCUGCUUUCUAGGUUGUCCCCCACAACACCACCAGAAGGGUUUUCUGAUCCCAAACUUAAUCACAUUACCUCCUUUCAGUAACUCCUCCUUACCCACAAGAUGAUUCAAAUAUGAUCUGUCUGAUGGAAGUUUAUCUCCCUUGGCUCUUCCCCUCACAUGCACACUUAAGCCACAAAUACCAUGAUGGUGCUCUAUCCCUUACCAAUGCUGCUCCUCAGCUGGGAAGGAUACCCACUUCUCUUACCAGCAGACAUCCAUUUAGCCUUUAGGGCUCAUCUUAGUAACUUCUCUGAAAUGCCUUUCUUAUUAACCUCAAAGAGAGGUAAUAAUACGCUUGCAAUUAUUUGCUUACAUGACCACUAGACAGACCUUCUUAUGAGCUGAGCCUGGAUUAUAUUCAUAGAGUGUGAAUGAAUGAAUUAGUCAGCCAUGGUCAUCAUGUACCAGUCUCCUCCUACUGGGGUUAACUCAAACUAACUCGAGUUGACUUUAAUCUACUCAUUUUUUUUUUCAGGGACUUAAUUUGGUUGCUCCGUGAGAGCUGCAGGCCC